AGGUAAGACUUUCAGAAAGAUGUACUCACCAAUAGCUUGCUAUUUGUUGUGAAUAUUUGUUCCACACUUCAAGAAGACUUUGAAUAACUUCACAUGGUGCCAUCUCCCAGUGAGGCCUGGGCUUGUCCUAAAGUCAGGAAGAAGUGACAACCUGGAGUCACCAAAGAUUGUAACCAGUGAAGAGUAUGCGUUGCGUGAACCUGAAAACUCCAAGCAAACCUUGACAUCUCAGCAAAUUCACCUGUUGGAUAAGGAAUUUACUCCAUGUCCUUGUGCCAUUCCUGUUGCCACCACAUAGGAGCAUCCACCGUCACUAACAUCCAUUCAGUCACAAACCAGCCUCAAAUUAUUUCCAUUUGAUGGCUGGGGGAGAAAUGUAAUUUGUUCACAAAAGAAAUCUGUGAUAAACUCCAAGUCUCCAUCAGUUGAAUCAAGACCAUAUGUUAUUUUUUUUCCCUUCCAUUCUUGUGAGAACUGAGGUCCCUUCACUUAAAUUUACCCAUUUCCAGAGGAGCAGGAAGGUCUAGCCAUCAGCAGGCAUAAGCACAUGGGCUGCAUUUACUUUUUUUGCUCCCCUCAUUUCUGUGGACCACGUGUGAGGUCUGAAGCCAAUGUCCACACAGUUAACAGCUGAGAAAUAAAACUAAUUUAUUAAUGUCCAUUACUCCCUAUUCUCCAGGAGAAGGGCAAUUUUGCCAAGCUUAUUCAUAAAAUUAAGAAGUCUGGUAGAGCAAUACUCCUUCCUUGAAGCAUCACUAUUUUCUUUCACCAGAUAAAUGUAUCCCACCUAGGUCUGUUUGGCACAACAGAGACCUCUAAAGAUUGGUUAGAUUAACUGUAUCUCCAGAGACAUAUCUGGCAUUAAUUCUUAUUUAAAGGUAGAAGUGUGGCUCUGCAUCAUGUAUUGCCCCCUUCAUGCUGA